CACAAGCUGCGUUAAAAAAAAAGAAAAAAAGAGGAAACGAAAAGAUUCACGAUGAAUAUAGUCUGAGAGAAAAUUCAGGGAGGAAGAAAGCGACUUACUUGAGGCCCCAGGAGCCCCUGAAGCAGCACAUGCAGCUGCAGGUGAGUCUGUGUCCAGCGUGUCCUCGUCGGCCCCUACAAAUCCCACACUGUGGCCCCGUUUCUUCAGACGCCUCUCAGGAACCGGUGAAGACAGAUGUUCUGUUCAGCCGCGGCGAACGGAAGCUUCCUCUGCAGGUAGGAGCUGAUCUGAUCUGCCUCAAUUGACUUCGACUCGUUUCAUUUUUAAAAAAACAGAAUUACAAAUUACAACGAACAAAAAUACAUGGAAAAAAAGAAUAGUAGGGACACGUGGUUAUUAACUGCUGCCAUGUUUGAGUUUCACCUCGCAGGGUGAUCUGGUUCAGGCUCUGCAGUCCUCUCAGGUGGUCAACAUGGAACUGAUUGACUCACAGCAACCUUCUUUCUUUUUUGAGUUAUUUUGUAAAUGUUUCUAGCAAAAGAUAUCUGCAUUGCUUUUUUACAAAUAAAAAAAAUCCCAAAUUCUAUUCAAUUUGCUAUUGAGGUUUGUUUAUGUUGCUGCAAUUCACAACAAAUCUGUGUGUGAUGAUGUAUUUAUCCAGUUUGGUGGAGAAUCUUUACAGACUGAAGGAGUAAAACAUUUGGCCUUGCAGCAGUCUUAUGUUGUGUGCAUUGGUUCAGAUGAUUUUGGCAGAUAUUGUCUCAUGUUGAGCUCCAUGACAUAAUGUAAACAAUAAAUUCAGAGGUCAAACUAAUAUAUUAUGGAGAUCAAAGCACAUGCCACACUCUGUCACAUUAACAUCUGCUUCAUUCAUUCACAACUGCUUGAAAAAAAUCAUUUAGCCAUCCUGAGAUAUUCCUAGUUUAUGUGAAGCUGCACAUAAAAACUAUUACAAUAUAAUACUUUGUAUUUCUUUUGACCAAAUCAUGUUAAAUGACUUGAUCUCAAAGAACAUAUUGAUCAAUAAAUCCCAGAUAAUUUCCACUUGUGAUAUGAAAAACCAAAAAACAAACAAACAGCUAAAUAUAAAACAGAAAAAAAGCUACAAGCAUAAAUGUCCAAAGCUUUAAACUGAUAAAGUGUGUUUGUUAAUUCAUUUUUGGCAUCCUUGGAAACAGGUAAACAUAAGAUUAGGGUGAUUGCAAGGAGGCCGUCUCUCCUCAAGGAGUUGAAGUUCAUUAUAAACCAAAAAUGUAAAUACCAGUAAAAUUUGCUACAUAAUUUCAAGAAGGGUUGUAUUAUUGUAAUUUUGUAUUUUUUCACAUAUUUUAUAAAGAAUUUUUGACAUGGCUUUCUUUUUUUAAAUGAAUAUAAAUACAAACUGAUAAUUUAUUCAUCAUCCCUUUACAUUAUUUUAUUUUGUCAGAGGUGGAUAGUAAGUAGUUAUAUUUUCUCAGUUAAAUUUACUUGAGUUAUUUAUUGGACAGAAAAUACUUAUAGUAGCUUUCCUUCACUGUACUUUGAACUUUUUCUUGAGUGGUGUUAUUAUGAAGUGUCACCACUGUUACUUGAGUAAAAUGUCUGGACCCUCUAACUACUGCGAGUAACUUCAUAACUUCACCAAAUGAAGAACGAACAUUUUUUAACCAAAAACAAACCAGACACACAUGAACACAAUUAGGUCAGACUUCUGUGUUUUACACAAACCUCAUUGUUCUAAUAUUUAUUUUCUAUUUGUUGAGCAUUUUAUGCCCUUUGGAGCUAAAGAAAAUACAGUAAACACCGGAAGCACUUCACCCUGGUCUAACUCACACACACACAUCUAUCUAUCUAUCUAUCUAUCUAUCUAUCUAUCUAUCUAUCUAUCUAUUGCUUAUUUGUUUGGAUUAUAUAUAAUUUUUUCUCUUUAAAAUAGUAGAACUGCACUAUAUGUAUUUAUCUGACUGAUUACUUGUUUUUUAAAUACUUGUCAAUUCUUUGCUCAGAAAAUGUCCAAGCCGUGUAGCCUGGCAGGUCACAGAACGUGAUUUUGUGUUUUGGUCAGAGGAAAAAAAAAAAAAAAAAGACAAAGCUUUGUGUCACAUUUCCAAAAGG